rnacentral:rRNA from 4 species
UUAAGCGACUAAGCGUACACGGUGGAUGCCCUGGCAGUCAGAGGCGAUGAAGGACGUGCUAAUCUGCGAUAAGCGUCGGUGAGGUGAUAUGAACCGUUAUAACCGGCGAUUUCCGAAUGGGGAAACCCAGUGUGUUUCGACACACUAUCAUUAACUGAAUCCAUAGGUUAAUGAGGCGAACCGGGGGAACUGAAACAUCUAAGUACCCCGAGGAAAAGAAAUCAACCGAGAUUCCCCCAGUAGCGGCGAGCGAACGGGGAGGAGCCCAGAGCCUGAAUCAGUGUGUGUGUUAGUGGAAGCGUCUGGAAAGGCGUGCGAUACAGGGUGACAGCCCCGUACACAAAAAUGCACAUAUUGUGAGCUCGAUGAGUAGGGCGGGACACGUGGUAUCCUGUCUGAAUAUGGGGGGACCAUCCUCCAAGGCUAAAUACUCCUGACUGACCGAUAGUGAACCAGUACCGUGAGGGAAAGGCGAAAAGAACCCCGGCGAGGGGAGUGAAAAAGAACCUGAAACCGUGUACGUACAAGCAGUGGGAGCCUCUUAAUGGGGUGACUGCGUACCUUUUGUAUAAUGGGUCAGCGACUUAUAUUCUGUAGCAAGGUUAACCGAAUAGGGGAGCCGAAGGGAAACCGAGUCUUAACUGGGCGUUAAGUUGCAGGGUAUAGACCCGAAACCCGGUGAUCUAGCCAUGGGCAGGUUGAAGGUUGGGUAACACUAACUGGAGGACCGAACCGACUAAUGUUGAAAAAUUAGCGGAUGACUUGUGGCUGGGGGUGAAAGGCCAAUCAAACCGGGAGAUAGCUGGUUCUCCCCGAAAGCUAUUUAGGUAGCGCCUCGUGAAUUCAUCUCCGGGGGUAGAGCACUGUUUCGGCAAGGGGGUCAUCCCGACUUACCAACCCGAUGCAAACUGCGAAUACCGGAGAAUGUUAUCACGGGAGACACACGGCGGGUGCUAACGUCCGUCGUGAAGAGGGAAACAACCCAGACCGCCAGCUAAGGUCCCAAAGUCAUGGUUAAGUGGGAAACGAUGUGGGAAGGCCCAGACAGCCAGGAUGUUGGCUUAGAAGCAGCCAUCAUUUAAAGAAAGCGUAAUAGCUCACUGGUCGAGUCGGCCUGCGCGGAAGAUGUAACGGGGCUAAACCAUGCACCGAAGCUGCGGCAGCGACACUAUGUGUUGUUGGGUAGGGGAGCGUUCUGUAAGCCUGUGAAGGUGGCCUGUGAGGGUUGCUGGAGGUAUCAGAAGUGCGAAUGCUGACAUAAGUAACGAUAAAGCGGGUGAAAAGCCCGCUCGCCGGAAGACCAAGGGUUCCUGUCCAACGUUAAUCGGGGCAGGGUGAGUCGACCCCUAAGGCGAGGCCGAAAGGCGUAGUCGAUGGGAAACAGGUUAAUAUUCCUGUACUUGGUGUUACUGCGAAGGGGGGACGGAGAAGGCUAUGUUGGCCGGGCGACGGUUGUCCCGGUUUAAGCGUGUAGGCUGGUUUUCCAGGCAAAUCCGGAAAACCAAGGCUGAGGCGUGAUGACGAGGCACUACGGUGCUGAAGCGACAAAUGCCCUGCUUCCAGGAAAAGCCUCUAAGCAUCAGGUAACAUCAAAUCGUACCCCAAACCGACACAGGUGGUCAGGUAGAGAAUACCAAGGCGCUUGAGAGAACUCGGGUGAAGGAACUAGGCAAAAUGGUGCCGUAACUUCGGGAGAAGGCACGCUGAUAUGUAGGUGAAGCGACUUGCUCGUGGAGCUGAAAUCAGUCGAAGAUACCAGCUGGCUGCAACUGUUUAUUAAAAACACAGCACUGUGCAAACACGAAAGUGGACGUAUACGGUGUGACGCCUGCCCGGUGCCGGAAGGUUAAUUGAUGGGGUUAGCGGUAACGCGAAGCUCUUGAUCGAAGCCCCGGUAAACGGCGGCCGUAACUAUAACGGUCCUAAGGUAGCGAAAUUCCUUGUCGGGUAAGUUCCGACCUGCACGAAUGGCGUAAUGAUGGCCAGGCUGUCUCCACCCGAGACUCAGUGAAAUUGAACUCGCUGUGAAGAUGCAGUGUACCCGCGGCAAGACGGAAAGACCCCGUGAACCUUUACUAUAGCUUGACACUGAACAUUGAGCCUUGAUGUGUAGGAUAGGUGGGAGGCUUUGAAGUGUGGACGCCAGUCUGCAUGGAGCCGACCUUGAAAUACCACCCUUUAAUGUUUGAUGUUCUAACGUUGGCCCGUAAUCCGGGUUGCGGACAGUGUCUGGUGGGUAGUUUGACUGGGGCGGUCUCCUCCUAAAGAGUAACGGAGGAGCACGAAGGUUGGCUAAUCCUGGUCGGACAUCAGGAGGUUAGUGCAAUGGCAUAAGCCAGCUUGACUGCGAGCGUGACGGCGCGAGCAGGUGCGAAAGCAGGUCAUAGUGAUCCGGUGGUUCUGAAUGGAAGGGCCAUCGCUCAACGGAUAAAAGGUACUCCGGGGAUAACAGGCUGAUACCGCCCAAGAGUUCAUAUCGACGGCGGUGUUUGGCACCUCGAUGUCGGCUCAUCACAUCCUGGGGCUGAAGUAGGUCCCAAGGGUAUGGCUGUUCGCCAUUUAAAGUGGUACGCGAGCUGGGUUUAGAACGUCGUGAGACAGUUCGGUCCCUAUCUGCCGUGGGCGCUGGAGAACUGAGGGGGGCUGCUCCUAGUACGAGAGGACCGGAGUGGACGCAUCACUGGUGUUCGGGUUGUCAUGCCAAUGGCACUGCCCGGUAGCUAAAUGCGGAAGAGAUAAGUGCUGAAAGCAUCUAAGCACGAAACUUGCCCCGAGAUGAGUUCUCCCUGACUCCUUGAG